UUUCUGUUCAUUUACAGCAAUAGUAAUCAUUUAAAUUAAUUGAGAUGGGACUAGGCAGAGUUUUGAGUUACUUUGCUCUAGCAAUGUUCAUUCAAUAUUCUUGCAGUCAGACACUAAUCGAGUCUGAUUCCGUGAUCAUCAAACCUGAUCAGUCUCAUAAACUGACCUGCACAGCUUCUGGAUUCGACUUUAGUAGCUACUGGAUGGCUUGGAUCAGACAGGCGCCUGGAAAAGGACUGGAAUUUGUUGCAACUGUCUACAGCAGUAGCAAGUAUUACUCCAGUGCAGUUAAUGGCCGCUUCACCAUCUCCAGAGACGACAGUAAGAUGCAAGUGUAUCUGCAGAUGAACAGCGUGAGGACAGAAGACACUGCAGUGUAUUACUGUGCCCGUGACCCACAGUGAU